GGUCUAGUGCUGUGUGGAAGACUAGUGAUUUUGUUGUUCUGAUGUAUUAUGACAACAAGUCACAGCUUCCUCAUAGCGUGGACU
rnacentral:pre_miRNA from 1 species